GGAAGGGGAAGAAAGACAGAGUGAAGAAUGAAGGAACUUCAUAAAGAGGAGGUGAAGAUCCAUCUUUGGUCAUCGCCGCUGCGGUGUGUCUGCGCCGCAUUUCCCAGGGAUCAGCUGUCAGUCAAAGUGUGUGGGCAACGUGUCGUCUUUCUCUAGGAUUUUUUUUUUUUUUUCUUUUUUGAACCCUUUGAUGUUGAUGUUGUUGUUGUCGUCUGUUCAGCUGUGGUGGCGGUGAACAAGCCCUGCUCUUCUUCUAUUUAUUCCAAACCCACCGCACAUGUAAAAUGCAUCACUUCCUGUGCAACUGGGUGAGGAGAUGGCACCAGCUACUGCUGUAAAAAUCUUUCACUGUUAAAUAAAAGCGGCUUGCUUGUUAUUGCUA